GUAGCCGGUCCCAAGGGUAUGGCUGUUCGCCAUUUAAAGAGGUACGUGAGCUGGGUUCAAAACGUCGUGAGACAGUUUGGUCCCUAUCUGCUGUGGGCGUUGGAGAUUUGACGGGGCUUGCUCCUAGUACGAGAGGACCGGAGUGAACGCACCUCUGGUGUACCUGUUGUCACGCCAGUGGCAUCGCAGGGUAGCUAAGUGCGGAAGAGAUAACCGCUGAAAGCAUCUAAGCGGGAAACUCGCCUGAAGAUGAGAUCUCCCUGGGGACUCGAUCCCCCUGAAGGGUCGUCCUAGACCAGGACGUUGAUAGGCCGGGUGUGGAAGCGCAGUAAUGCGUUCAGCUAACCGGUACUAAUUGCCCGUGAGGCUUGACCCUAUAACUUUGCG
rnacentral:rRNA from 1 species